rnacentral:rRNA from 1 species
GAUGAACGCUGGCGGCGUGCCUAAUACAUGCAAGUCGAGCGAACGGACGAGAAGCUUGCUUUUCUGAUGUUAGCGGCGGACGGGUGAGUAACACGUGGAUAACCUACCUAUAAGACUGGGAUAACUUCGGGAAACCGGAGCUAAUACCGGAUAAUAUUUUGAACCCCUUGGUUCAAAAGUGAAAGACGGUUUUGCUGCCACUUAUAGAUGGAUCCGCGCUGCAUUAGCUAGUUGGUAAGGUAACGGCUUACCAAGGCAACGAUGCAUAGCCGACCUGAGAGGGUGAUCGGCCACACUGGAACUGAGACACGGUCCAGACUCCUACGGGAGGCAGCAGUAGGGAAUCUUCCGCAAUGGGCGAAAGCCUGACGGAGCAACGCCGCGUGAGUGAUGAAGGUCUUCGGAUCGUAAAACUCUGUUAUUAGGGAAGAACAUAUGUGUAAGUAACUGUGCACAUCUUGACGGUACCUAAUCAGAAAGCCACGGCUAACUACGUG